rnacentral:rRNA from 1 species
GUGCCAGCAGCCGCGGUAAUACAGAGGGUGCGAGCGUUAAUCGGAUUUACUGGGCGUAAAGCGUGCGUAGGCGGCUAAUUGAGUCGGAUGUGAAAUCCCCGAGCUUAACUUGGGAAUUGCAUUCGAUACUGGUUAGCUAGAGUGUGGGAGAGGAUGGUAGAAUUCCAGGUGUAGCGGUGAAAUGCGUAGAGAUCUGGAGGAAUACCGAUGGCGAAGGCAGCCAUCUGGCCUAACACUGACGCUGAGGUACGAAAGCAUGGGGAGCAAACAGGAUUAGAUACCCUGGUAGUCC